GCGCUCGUGGCCAAGUAGCUAAGGCAACAGGCUGCAACCCUGUGAUCCUGGGUGCAAAUCCCAGCGAGCGCU
rnacentral:tRNA from 1 species